rnacentral:rRNA from 1 species
AUUGAACGCUGGCGGCAUGCCUUACACAUGCAAGUCGAACGGCAGCACGGGUGCUUGCACCUGGUGGCGAGUGGCGAACGGGUGAGUAAUACAUCGGAACAUGUCCUGUAGUGGGGGAUAGCCCGGCGAAAGCCGGAUUAAUACCGCAUACGAUCUACGGAUGAAAGCGGGGGACCUUCGGGCCUCGCGCUAUAGGGUUGGCCGAUGGCUGAUUAGCUAGUUGGUGGGGUAAAGGCCUACCAAGGCGACGAUCAGUAGCUGGUCUGAGAGGACGACCAGCCACACUGGGACUGAGACACGGCCCAGACUCCUACGGGAGGCAGCAGUGGGGAAUUUUGGACAAUGGGCGAAAGCCUGAUCCAGCAAUGCCGCGUGUGUGAAGAAGGCCUUCGGGUUGUAAAGCACUUUUGUCCGGAAAGAAAUCCUUGGCCCUAAUACGGUCGGGGGACGACGGUACCGGAAGAAUAAGCACCGGCUAACUACGUG